GAUGAACGCUGGCGGCGUGCCUAACACAUGCAAGUCGAACGGAGAUUACGGACGGAAGUUUUCGGAUGGAAGACUGUAAUUCUUAGUGGCGGACGGGUGAGUAACGCGUGGGCAACCUGCCCUAUACAGGGGGAUAGCAGCUGGAAACGGCUGGUAAGACCGCAUAAGUCGGCGAAACCGCAUGGUUUUGCCGGGAAAUGAGCAAUCAGGUAUAGGAUGGGCCCGCGUCCGAUUAGCCAGUUGGCAGGGUAAAAGCCUACCAAAGCAACGAUCGGUAGCCGGACUGAGAGGUCGGACGGCCACAUUGGGACUGAGACACGGCCCAAACUCCUACGGGAGGCAGCAGUGGGGGAUAUUGCACAAUGGAGGAAACUCUGAUGCAGCGACGCCGCGUGAGUGAAGAAGUAUUUCGGUAUGUAAAGCUCUAUCAGCAGGGAAGAUGAUG
rnacentral:rRNA from 1 species